AAUAAGUUUAUUUGUGGGUUUUUGUGCUUAACAUUUGACUGUCCGUCUUAUUUUAAAUUUUUUAUGAUUAGUAUUAUUGUUGUUAUUAGAUGAUAAAAUAUGAAUAUUACUUUAUACAUGACUUAUUUUUGUUAGAUUUUUCAUUAUUAGAUUUUUUAUUAAUUUUUCAAAUAAGAUAGACGGUCAAACAUCGUAUACAAAAACCCAAUGUUAAAAUGAAC
rfam:Oryza sativa (indica cultivar-group) chromosome 3, whole genome shotgun sequence.